UACGAAGGGGGCUAGCGUUGCUCGGAAUGACUGGGCGUAAAGGGCGCGUAGGCGGAUGGCACAGUCAGAUGUGAAAUUCCCGGGCUUAACCUGGGGGGCUGCAUUUGAUACGUGUUGUCUUGAGUUCGGAAGAGGGUCGUGGAAUUCCCAGUGUAGAGGUGAAAUUCGUAGAUAUUGGGAAGAACACCGGUGGCGAAGGCGGCGACCUGGUCCGACACUGACGCUGAGGCGCGAAAGCGUGGGGAGCAAACAGG
rnacentral:rRNA from 1 species